rnacentral:rRNA from 1 species
CGCGUAGGCGGGAUGGCAAGUCGGUCGUGAAAUCCUUCGGCUCAACCGAAGAACGUCGGCCGAUACUGCCGUUCUUGAGGGAUGCAGAGGAGACUGGAAUUCCCGGUGUAGCGGUGAAAUGUGUAGAGAUCGGGAGGAACACCGGUGGCGAGGGCGGGUCUCUGGGCAUCUCCCGACGCUGAGGCGCGAAAGCGUGGGGAGCAAACGGGAUUAGAUACCCCGGUAGUCCACGCCAUAAACGAUGACGACUAGGUGUGGGGUGGUUCAGUCCACUCCGUGCCGCAGCUAACGCAUUAAGUCGUCCGCCUGGGGAGUACGGCCGCAAGGUUGAA